AUUGAACGCUGGCGGCAUGCUUUACACAUGCAAGUCGAACGGCAGCACGAAAGAGCUUGCUCUUUUGGUGGCGAGUGGCGAACGGGUGAGUAAUGCAUCGGAACGUACCGAGUAAUGGGGGAUAACUAUCCGAAAGGAUAGCUAAUACCGCAUACGCUUUGAGAAGGAAAGUGGGGGCUCUUCGGACCUCACGUUAUUCGAGCGGCCGAUGUCUGAUUAGCUAGUUGGUGGGGUAAAGGCCUACCAAGGCGACGAUCAGUAGCGGGUCUGAGAGGAUGAUCCGCCACACUGGGACUGAGACACGGCCCAGACUCCUACGGGAGGCAGCAGUGGGGAAUUUUGGACAAUGGGCGCAAGCCUGAUCCAGCCAUGCCGCGUGUCUGAAGAAGGCCUUCGGGUUGUAAAGGACUUUUGUUGGGGAAGAAAAGGAUAGUGUUAAUACCAU
rnacentral:rRNA from 1 species